GAUGAUGAUGAUGAUGAUUAGGUAUCACCAUUUUUGAACACUGUUGCGUUGCUCUGCACAAUACAUAGAAAAGCGAGGAUAACUGUGACUGCGCACAGGGUUAACAAUCAUUGACGGAUGGGUACAAAUUUAUUCGAUAAAAAUCAACAUGUAUAAAAAUGGUGGACUGCUACGCUCAUUUCGUGACCCAGAGUAUAUUUAUGUGAAAAUAACGACUCUAACGACAAAUCCAACCCAGUUAAGAUCACUGUCAGGACCAUUUCCUGUAUUGGUGGAGGAGAAAACUGAUGCUCCCUCCUAUUGGGAUACAGAUGCAGAGAACUCGAUAUUCAAAAGCUGGAGCUACAGCUGCGGCAAAUUAAAAUGGAAAUUAUGAUGGCAGUGGCCUACUUGAGUUUCACAAAACUUCCACUGAGAUUGAGACCAGCAUGCAAGACCAAAGUCAAAGAACACAACAAGAUUCACAAUAUGGAAUCGAAAGGAGCUGACAGGGUAGACUGAUAUAUUAAAACACAGAUGAUAACACAGAAAGAAGUUUCAACAGCGGUAGUCUUCGAUAUGUUAAAGAUACUGCUGUGGGUGUACAUGGACUUCUGAAGCAUCAGUCUGAUUUACCAGCAGAGCUGUGAAUGCAACAUCUCUAGCCAGAAAUAAUUUUCCUGAGCAGCAUGCAUAUUCUUCAGGAUCCCCUACAUCUCUACAUAGAGGGACACGCAAACAGCCACAUCAUAUUCCUGAGGACCUUUACAUCUCUACAAGGAGGGACACACAAACAGACACAUCAAAUUCCUGAGGACCUUUACAUAUCUACUAGGAGGGACACAUAAACAGACACAUCAUAUUCCUGAGGACCUUUACAUCUCAACAUAAAUGGUCACACAAACAGCCACAUCAUAUUCCUGAGGACCUUUACAUCUCAACAAUGAGGGACACACAAACACCCACAUCAUAUUCCUGAGGACCUUUACAUCUCAAUAUAGAGGGACACACAAACAGACGCAUCAUAUUCCCGAGGACCUUUUCAUCUCUACACGGAGGAACACACAAACAGCCACAUCAUAUUCCUGAGGACCUUUACAUCUCAACAAUGAGGGACACACAAACAGCCACAUCAUAUUCCUGAGGACCUUUACUUCUCAACAAUGAGGGACACACAAACAGCCACAUCAUAUUCCUGAGGACCUUUACAUCUCAAUAUAGAGGGACACACAAACAGCCACAUCAUAUUCCUGAGGACCUUUACAUCUCAAUAUAGAGGGACACACAAACAGCCACAUCAUAUUCCUGAGGACCUUUACAUCUCAAUAUAGAGGGACACACAAACAGCCGCAUCAUAUUCCCGAGGACCUUUACAUCUCUACACGGAGGAACACACAAACAGCCACAUCAUAUUCCUGAGGACCUUUACUUCUCAACCUAAAGGGUCACACAAACAGCCAAAUCGUAUUCCUGAGGACCUUUACAUCUCUACAAGGAGGGACACACAAACAGCCACAUCAUAUUCCUGAGGACCUUUACAUCUCAAAAUAGAGGGACACAGAAACAAUCACGUCAUAUUCCUGAGGACCUUUACAACUCAAAAUAGAGGGACACACAAACAGACACAUCAUAUUCCUGAGGACCUUUACAUCUCAAAAUAGAGGGACACACAAACAGCCACAUCAUAUUCCUGAGGAUCUUUACAUCUCUACAAGGAGGGACACACAAACAGCCACAUCGUAUUCAUGAGGACCUUUACAUUUCUACAAGGAGGGACACACAAACGGCCACAUCAUAUUCCUGAGGAUCUUUACAUCUCAAAAUAGAGGGACACACAAACAGCCACAUCAUAUUCCUGAAAACCUUUACAUCUCAACAUAGAGGAACAGAUAAACAGCCACAUCAUAUUCCUGAGGACCUUUACAAGUCAAAAUAGAGGGACACACAAACAGCCACUUCGUAUUCCUGAAGAUCUUUACCUCUCAACGUAGAGGGACACACAAACAGCCACAUCAAAUUCCUGAGGACCUUUACAUCUCAACAUAGAGGGACACACAACAGCCACAUCAUGUUCCUGGAGACCUUUACAUCUCAAUAUUUAGUGACACACAAACAGCCAUAUCAUAUUCCUGAUGACCUUUCAGCAAAUUGAGUUAUUGUCCUGUGUUACGUUUCUUGAUCAGAAUCAUUUUUGAAAACUACAGGAUGUAUUUCAACUACUGUCUACACACCACAGUUAAGCACAAUGAGAAUAAGUAGAGUGUACAAGAAACUGUUAAAGCUACUAACAGAUCGUUUGCCCUUUGUAACUUUUUCAUAACCAACUGGCUCCGAUUUCUCGAAACUACUUAAGUUUUACAGGCUUAAGUAGCUUAUUUCAAAAUGCCAAAAUAUAUACUUAACUAGAUUUUGAUAAAUCAUAAAAACCUCUUCUGAUAAUCAUGAUGAUAAUUCCUUUCUCAAGUAUAAAAUAUCUUAAAGAAGUAAACAUUACGCAAUUUAUUGAAAUCCAAACAUAGUGAGCUUAGCUUAAUCCUGUUUAAAGGGACUUCAGAAGAUUCGAGAAUUCGGGGCCAGAGCAUUUCUUUAACAUUUCUAGAUCAAAUUCAGUGGAGCUUCAUUCAAUGAUAGAAUUGAAUGAGAGUAAGUAUAUUAUAUAAGAACUAUUAGUCAAGUUAAGCUUUUCGCAGUUAUUGCCAUGUAUGACAUUUUUCCUUGUCCAUAACUUAAAAAUACUUGUUAGAACUUAAUUAAACUACAUACAAUUGUAAAGCACAGUGAUGGUUAGAACUUAAUUAAACUACAUACAAUUGUAAAGCACAGUGAUAGGAAGUAAAGUAUACAUAACACUAUUAUACCUUAUAAAGAUGGCAUUAUUCCCCUGUCCGGAACAUAACUACUUGAUGAAACUUUAUGAAACAUUUUUUUAAAGCACAAUGAGCGGAAAUGCACUGUAUGAAAAGCAUAACUCUAUUUCAGCUCAGUGCAGAGCUACUGCCCUUUGUCACUUUUUUUGUUCGGAAAACUUAAAUACUACUCGAUGGAAUUUAAAUAACAACUCUUUUUUAGGGAAUAUUAGAAUAAUAAUGAAUGCUUCACUUGUUUCCCUAGCGCCGGCUGGUGUCUCAGUUUGUUGAAGGAUUUGCAUAAUAGCAACAAUACAUUCAAGAUCUAAGCAAGUAUAUCUUGUAUUGAUUAAAAAAAAAUAUAUGUGUUCCCAACAUAACUUAAUAAUUAUUAAUGAUUCUGUUUGAUUAUACGUAUAGGAAAACAAAGCAAAUUAUGGACAUUUUUCUUUUGACAUGGACAUUCUGAUUAAGGUUUUGCAUGUAAGCACACACAUCAGCCAUUAGUUGAUGCAUUGAUUGUAUUUCGACUUUAUACAAUGAUACUCAACCGUUCAUCCCAAUCAAAUAACCAAGUUUAUUUGUGACAUUUGUACUCAACUAUCCAACCUCUGAUUAGGCCAAUUUUAUAGUUCUUUUGGGUUGAUUAUGGCUUGUACGUCAAAACAAAUUGUUUAAGUUGUGCAUGUAAGAAAACAUAGCAUACUUGAUAAAUUGCAUUGAAACUUAAUACAAAGGUACCAUACUGUCUUUUAAGUAGUGUUUGUUCCUUUUUUAUUCAAUUUCUUCCGUCUGGUUUAGGUUUUGCAUGUUAUCACAUUUAAUUCAAUAGCUCAGCAAUUACAUCAUGUACUACACUUUAUAAAAAAAGACGCCCUAACAGUCAUAAUUUUGCUUACGGUUUUGCUUGUUAGCAUAUGAAAUUCAAUCUAACAUCUAAUCCAUGUAUUGUUUUGAAAC